AUUGAACGCUGGCGGCAUGCCUUACACAUGCAAGUCGAACGGCAGCACGGGAGCAAUCCUGGUGGCGAGUGGCGAACGGGUGAGUAAUAUAUCGGAACGUGCCCAGUCGUGGGGGAUAACGCAGCGAAAGCUGUGCUAAUACCGCAAACGAUCUACGGAUGAAAGCGGGGGAUCGCAAGACCUCGCGCGAUUGGAGCGGCCGAUAUCAGAUCAGCUAGUUGGUGAGGGAAAGGCUCACCAAGGCGACGAUCUGUAGCUGGUCUGAGAGGACGACAAGCCAUGAUGGAAGUGCGACACAGUCCAGCCUCCUACGUGAGGCAGCAGUGGGGAAUUUUGGACGAUGGGUGAAAGCCUGAUCCAGCAAUGCCGCGUGAAGGAUGAAGGCCUUCGGGUUGUAAACUGCUUUUGUACGGAACGAAACGGAGCUCUAAUACAGUUUGCUAAUGACGGUAUCGUAAGAAUAAGCACCGGCUAAAUACGUGCCAGCGGCCGCAGUAA
rnacentral:rRNA from 1 species